GUACUUACUUGGUCUUGAAACCCACUGGGAAGUGGGUUUUGUAAGGUGGGAGCAGUUGGUUUUGUAAGGUGGGAACAAGGACUUGGGAUUAUUUUAUUUUAUUUUUAUUUUUGUAAGGGUUAUAGUAGAGGGUACCUCCUUAUGCUGGAACAUCUUUUUAUAUGAGAAAAAAACAAAACCUGAUCCAUUCUAGGAUCUGUGUGUUUCCUUAAAGUCUUAGUUUAUGUCAUGAGUGACUCAGUUUGGUUUGGUCUGGUCUGUUGAGGCCUGAUGCAUGAGCUGAGUCCAAAAAAAUGGCCUCUCAUAACUUUGUUUAAAAAUUCUCCCCUUUUGGUCAGGUUCUCACUUAGGUGAUUUAGACUGUGACCAAAACUUAGGGUCUGAGUGCCACUCUUAGUUGCCAUCACUUUGGAUUUCUGGUCUCAGCAUGCCAUUUAUAGGUUACAGUGUCCUCAUGGUCACACAUAUUUUGUUUCAGCUCUUGUCAUUCCAGUUGAAGAGAGAUCAUUUGACAUUCCAGAGAUGGCUGCAUGGAAACAUUCAAAAUUUUAAAGAGAAUACAGUGUACCAGGAAGACUAUUAUUACUAUCAGAAAGAUAAUAACAAGAUUUUGGAGUAGUUCCUUACUUAGUGUCCUCAUAAACCAAACCACUGAAAAUCAAAAGAAUGAGCUAAAGAGUCUGCUUGAUUAACUAAGCAGUCUCUUCAUUAAAACUCUACAAAUCCAUAUAAUACCUGGUGUGAUGUAUUUCUCUGUAGGCCACACAUGCCAGCAGCUGCACAGAUAAUUUCUCUGUUUAGCCAGUAAGUAAUCUAGAGCAAUUCUAUCAUUGAGCAUAACUUUCCCAAGAUAAAGUCUGUUGUGUAACUUUAGCCUUUACAGUAGAAUCUGCUAUAACACCUAUCAUUAGGGAUACAUUUGUAAUCAUUCCCUCUUGUACUUCAAACCAUGGAGAAAAUAGGGCUUAACAAAUGAUGCCCUUCUAGAAGAGUGAAGGCCUCCUCUCAAUGCUCUCUUAAACCCAUGAUGUAGGUUAAGAGGAGUGAACAAAUAUUCUGUUUCUGACUGAUUAUGAGGCAACAUACGUACCAUUAAAAUUUCUCACAUUUGGCCUCUAUCUUCCAUCAAAGAAUAAGGUUAUCCAGAUGUGAGGGUAAUCUGGCUGUGACAUCUGUCACUCAGUUGAUCUCCAGGGUUGAUUUGGCUGAUCUGGCUGGCCAGGCACACUUUCCCUUCCUCCCUCACCACUCCAUGUGCAUCCCUCCUGAAGCUGCAUGCUCAGUCCAAGAGGAUGACCAUCUCUGUUAGAGGAGGACCAUUCUUUGGUCAAGGGUAUACGAGUAGCUGCACUCCCCUGGUAGAACUUCCAAACAAGCUUUCAAGUUAUAAAGUUGUAUAUGUAUAAGACUAGCUACAAAAUCUAUCACAAAAGUAUAUCCCAUGAGUGUGCACAACAGACCCCCCCUUUCACAUCUAUUGUUCAUAAAGGCAUAAGCAAGGGAAAAAAAUAUUCAGAAUCUAAUGUUAGCAGAGCAGUCUUUAUCCGUUGUUCACAUCAAGUUUGCCAUCUUCUGGGGAGAAACUUUUCUGGUUAGCUUUACCUUAAGGGUUAUAGUGGGUGUACAGUUUCAAGACUGUGGAGGGACCCUUCUUAGUUGUAAGAUUAUGAACCCAGAGUUCAAGGUUCCAAAGCUUUUCUGUAGUGUGGAUGUCAAGGGCAGUCUUUCUCUGAUGUUCUCAGAAGAUCCAAUCUAUAGGCUCUAGAUUAUGAAGAGGUGUUGAUCUCAGUGAAUCAUAAAAAAGCUUU
rnacentral:lncRNA from 10 species